rnacentral:rRNA from 1 species
GAUCAUGGCUCAGGACGAACGCUGGCGGCGCGCCUAACACAUGCAAGUCGAACGAGAGAGAAGGAGCUUGCUUCCUUGAUCGAGUGGCGAACGGGUGAGUAACGCGUGAGGAACCUGCCUCAAAGAGGGGGACAACAGUUGGAAACGACUGCUAAUACCGCAUAAGCCCACGACCCGGCCAUCGGGAAGGAGGGAAAAGGGAAGGCAAUACCGCCUUUGUAGGUGGGCCGUCGCGUCCGACUUAGUCUAGUUGGUUGG